rnacentral:rRNA from 1 species
CAAGACCAAGGUGAGGGACGUUCGGGCCUCAUGCCAUCAGAUGUGCCCAGAUGGGAUUAGCUAGUAGGUGGGGUAACGGCUCACCUAGGCGACGAUCCCUAGCUGGUCUGAGAGGAUGACCAGCCACACUGGAACUGAGACACGGUCCAGACUCCUACGGGAGGCAGCAGUGGGGAAUAUUGCACAAUGGGCGCAAGCCUGAUGCAGCCAUGCCGCGUGUGUGAAGAAGGCCUUCGGGUUGUAAAGCACUUUCAGCGGGGAGGAAGGCGUUAAGGUUAAUAACCUUGGCGAUUGACGUACCCGCAGAAGAAGCACCUGCUAACUCCGUGCCAGCAGCCCGCGGUAAUACGGAGGGUGCAAGCGUUAAUCGGAAUUACUGGGCGUAAAGCGCACGCAGGCGGUCUGUCAAGUCGGAUGUGAAAUCCCCGGGCUCAACCUGGGAACUGCAUUCGAAACUGGCAGGCUAGAGUCUUGUAGAGGGGGGUAGAAUUCCAGGUGUAGCGGUGAAAUGCGUAGAGAUCUGGAGGAAUACCGGUGGCGAAGGCGGCCCCCUGGACAAAGACUGACGCUCAGGUGCGAAAGCGUGGGGAGCAAACAGGAUUAGAUACCCUGGUAGUCCACGCCGUAAACGAUGUCGAUUUGGAGGUUGUGCCCUUGAGGCGUGGCUUCCGGAGCUAACGCGUUAAAUCGACCGCCUGGGGAGUACGGCCGCAAGGUUAAAACUCAAAUGAAUUGACGGGGGCCCGCACAAGCGGUGGAGCAUGUGGUUUAAUUCGAUGCAACGCGAAGAACCUUACCUGGUCUUGACAUCCACAGAACUUUCCAGAGAUGGAUUGGUGCCUUCGGGAACUGUGAGACAGGUGCUGCAUGGCUGUCGUCAGCUCGUGUUGUGAAAUGUUGGGUUAAGUCCCGCAACGAGCGCAACCCUUAUCCUUUGUUGCCAGCGGUUCGGCCGGGAACUCAAAGGAGACUGCCAGUGAUAAACUGGAGGAAGGUGGGGAUGACGUCAAGUCAUCAUGGCCCUUACGACCAGGGCUACACACGUGCUACAAUGGCAUAUACAAAGAGAAGCGACCUCGCGAGAGCAAGCGGACCUCAUAAAGUAUGUCGUAGUCCGGAUUGGAGUCUGCAACUCGACUCCAUGAAGUCGGAAUCGCUAGUAAUCGUAGAUCAGAAUGCUACGGUGAAUACGUUCCCGGGCCUUGUACACACCGCCCGUCACACCAUGGGAGUGGGUUGCAAAAGAAGUAGGUAGCUUAACCUUCGGGAGGGCGCUUACCACUUU